CCUACGGGAGGCAGCAGUGAGGAAUAUUGGUCAAUGGGCGGGAGCCUGAACCAGCCAAGCCGCGUGAGGGAAGAAGGUACAGCGUAUCGUAAACCUCUUUUGUCAGGGAACAAAGGCGGGGACUAGUCCCCGGAUGAGGGUACCUGAAGAAAAAGCAUCGGCUAACUCCGUGCCAGCAACCGCGGUAAUACGGAGGAUGCGAGCGUUAUCCGGAUUUAUUGGGUUUAAAGGGUGCGCAGGCGGCCUGUUAAGUCAGCGGGAAAAGCCCGGGGCUCAACCCCGGCGAGCCGUUGAAACUGGCGGGCUGGAGUUGGAGAGAAGUACGCGGAAUGCGCGGUGUAGCGGUGAAAUGCUUAGAUAUCGCGCAGAACCCCGAUUGCGAAGGCAGCGUACCGGCUCCACACUGACGCUGAGGCACGAAAGCGUGGGUAUCGAACAGGAUUAGAUACCCGAGUAGUC
rnacentral:rRNA from 1 species